GUCUGGAGACCCUCGUCUGGCUGCUGGACCCCGCCCGUCCAGCAGCAGCGGAACCUGUACACAUCUCUGUUGGACAGGAGUUUCCUGGCUU